rnacentral:rRNA from 1 species
CUCGUAGGUGGCCAACUAAGUCGGACGUGAAAUCCCUCGGCUUAACCGGGGAACUGCGUCUGAUACUGGAUGGCUUGAGUUCGGGAGAGGGAUGCGGAAUUCCAGGUGUAGCGGUGAAAUGCGUAGAUAUCUGGAGGAACACCGGUGGCGAAGGCGGCAUCCUGGACCGACACUGACGCUGAGGAGCGAAAGCCAGGGGAGCAAACGG